UAGGGGAGAAUGGAAUUCCUGGUGGAGCGGUGGAAUGCGCAGAUAUCAGGAGGAACACCAGUGGCGAAGGCGGUUCUCUGGACCUUUCCUGACGCUGAGGAGCGAAAGCGUGGGGAGCGAACAGGCUUAGAUACCCUGGUAGUCCACGCUGUAAACGGUGGGUACUAGGUGUGGGGUCCAUUCCACGGAUUCUGUGCCGUAGCUAACGCAUUAAGUACCCCGCCUGGGGAGUACGGCCGCAAGGCUAAAACUCAAAGGAAUUGACGGGGCCCCGCACAAGCGGCGGAGCAUGCGGAUUAAUUCGAUGCAACGCGAAGAACCUUACCUGGGUUUGACAUGGAUCGGAAGCUUCCAGAGAUGGUUGUGCCUCUUUUGGGGUCGGUUCACAGGUGGUGCAUGGCUGUCGUCAGCUCGUGUCGUGAGAUGUUGGGUUAAGUCCCGCAACGAGCGCAACCCUCGUCCACUGUUGCCAGCAAUUCGGUUGGGGACUCAGUGGAGACCGCCGGGGUCAACUCGGAGGAAGGUGGGGAUGACGUCAAGUCAUCAUGCCCCUUAUGUCCAGGGCUUCACGCAUGCUACAAUGGCCGGUACAGUGAGUUGCGACAUCGUAAGGUGGAGCGAAUCUCAAAAAGCCGGUCUCAGUUCGGAUUGGGGUCUG
rnacentral:rRNA from 1 species